GGAACUUCCUCCUUUUUUAAACCCUUUCCUCUCUCUCUCUCUCUCUCUCUCUCUCGGGCAAAGUCGUCGCAGUCUUCGUCGUCUUCGUCGCUGCCGAAGCUUCCUCGAAACCUCGCCUGAUCCGCCAUCAAUUUCAGGUUCUGUUGGGCAAAGUUGUCGCAGUCUUCGCCGUCUUCGUCGGUGUCGCUGCCGAAGCUUCCUUGAAACCUCGCCUGAUCCGCCAUCAAUUUCAGGUUCUGUUGGGCAAAGUCAUCGCAGUCUUCAUCGUCUUCGUCGGUGUCGCUGCCGAAGCGCCAUCAAAUUCAGGUUCUGUGUCAACAGGGAGGGCUAGACUUACUAUUACAUAAGGUUGACUUAAAGCAAAAGAAUAAAGGUAAUAUAAAGU
rnacentral:lncRNA from 1 species